rfam:Toxocara canis scaffold473, whole genome shotgun sequence.
GGCGAGAUGGCCGAGCGGUCUAAGGCGCUGGUUUAAGGCACCAGUCUCUUCGGAGGCGUACUUUCGAAUCCUACUCUCGUCA